AAGCCAAGUCAAGUUAAAAAUAAUUGCCAAAGACACUUAGUCCCCUAGUUUUUGUUUGGCUUUGGUCCACUAGAUUCUUCUUCUAGUCAAAGACUUGUUUCUUUUUU
rnacentral:sRNA from 1 species